rnacentral:rRNA from 1 species
GAUGAACGCUGGCGGCGUGCCUAAUACAUGCAAGUCGAGCGAACAGACGAGGAGCUUGCUCCUCUGACGUUAGCGGCGGACGGGUGAGUAACACGUGGAUAACCUACCUAUAAGACUGGGAUAACUUCGGGAAACCGGAGCUAAUACCGGAUAAUAUAUUGAACCGCAUGGUUCAAUAGUGAAAGACGGUUUUGCUGUCACUUAUAGAUGGAUCCGCGCCGCAUUAGCUAGUUGGUAAGGUAACGGCUUACCAAGGCAACGAUGCGUAGCCGACCUGAGAGGGUGAUCGGCCACGCUGGAACUGAGACACGGUCCAGACUCCUACGGGAGGCAGCAGUAGGGAAUCUACCGCAAUGGGCGAAGGCCUGACAGAGCAACGCCGAGUGAGUGAUGAAGGUGUUCGGAUCGUAAAACUCUGUUAUUAGGGAAGAACAAAUGUGUAAGUAACUAUGCACGUCUUGACGGUACCUAAUCAGAAAGCCACGGCUAACUACGUG